CAAUGAGCGGGUGAUCCAGGUAACCAAAACUGAGACACGUAGGAGAGAACACAGAACCAACUCUUCCGGGUUAGACUGCAAUUCGACACAUCCUGCAGGUUACAGAAGAAAACACCUCCUGACUCCGAUCUACCUGUUCUCCACGACGCCGUUGCUACCAUCGAGAGACCGUUUGUAAGGCUGCCUGCCGGCUGAGGGACACAGCCUUCCAGCAGAUUAGGAUGGAUUCCGCAGAUGCUGGAAAUCUGGAGAAACAUACACAAAGUGCUGGAGGAACUCAGCAGGUCAGGCAGCGUCUUUGGAAAGGGAAUAAACAGCCGACGUUUCGGGCCGAGACCCUUCUCUGAUGACCCAGGAUAUCCCCUCUUCUAAGUGCUACCGCCAGGGAGGUGGUACAGGAGCCUGGAGAUACACACUCAAUGUUAUAGGAACAUCAGAUUUCUGAAUGGAGAGUGAACCCUACCUCACUAUGUUUUCUCAUUUUAUCUCUUCUUACACUAC